rnacentral:piRNA from 1 species
UGGGCGUGUUAUCUUUUCAGUCUGAUUGUC